UACGGAGGGUGCAAGCGUUAAUCGGAAUUACUGGGCGUAAAGCGCACGCAGGUGGCUGAGUCAGUCGAUUGUGAAAGCCCUGGGCUUAACCUGGGAAUUGCAGUCGAUACUACUCAGCUAGAGUAUGGGAGAGGGUAGUGGAAUUCCUGGUGUAGCAGUGAAAUGCGUAGAUAACAGGAGGAAUACCGAUGGCGAAGGCAGGUCUCUGGGCUAACACUGACGCUCAUGCACGAAAGCGUGGGGAGCAAACAGG
rnacentral:rRNA from 1 species